AGAGUUUGAUCCUGGCUCAGGAUGAACGCUAGCUACAGGCUUAACACAUGCAAGUCGAGGGGCAGCAUCAUCAAAGCUUGCUUUGAUGGAUGGCGACCGGCGCACGGGUGAGUAACACGUAUCCAACCUGCCGACAACACUGGGAUAGCCUUUCGAAAGAAAGAUUAAUACCGGAUGGCAUAGUUUUCCCGCAUGGGAUAAUUAUUAAAGAAUUUCGGUUGUCGAUGGGGAUGCGUUCCAUUAGGCAGUUGGCGGGUAACGGCCACCAACCUACGAUGGAUAGGGGUUCUGAGAGGAAGGUCCCCCANAUUGGAACUGAGACACGGUCCAAACUCCUACGGGAGCA
rnacentral:rRNA from 1 species